CCUACGGGUGGCAGCAGUGGGGGAUAUUGCACAAUGGGGGGAACCCUGAUGCAGCGACGCCGCGUGGGGGAAGAAGCGCUUCGGCGCGUAAAGCCCUGUCAGUAGGGAAGAAAAUGACGGUAUCUGAAGAAGAAGCACCGGCUAACUACGUGCCAGCAGCCGCGGUAAUACGUAGGGGGCAAGCGUUACCCGGAUUUACUGGGUGUAAAGGGGGCGCAGACGGGGAUGCAAGCCAGGAGUGAAAGCCCGUGGCUCAACCACGGGACUGCUCUUGGAACUGCGUGGCUGGAGUGCAGGAGGGGCAGGCGGAAUUCCUGGUGUAGCGGUAAAAUGCGUAGAUAUCAAGAGGAACACCGAUGGCGAAGGCGACCUGCUGGACUGCAACUGACGUUGAGGCCCGAAAGCGUGGGGAGCAAACAGGAUUAGAUACCCUAGUAGUC
rnacentral:rRNA from 1 species